GUGCUUGCUUCAGCAGCACAUAUGCUAAAAUUGGAAUGAUACAGAGAAGAUUAGGAUGGCCCCUAAGAAAAAUUAUUAUCAAAACAAUGUAAAUGAAUAUUUU
rnacentral:snRNA from 1 species